rnacentral:lncRNA from 1 species
CUGAUGGUCACUUCCACUCCACACUGCACGUCUGAUGGCCACUUCCACUCCACGGCUGAUGGUCACUUCCACUCCACACUGCAAUGGCUGAUGGUCACUUCCACCCACACUGCAACGGCACGCUGACAGGUCAAUUCCACUCCACACUGCAAUGGCUGAUGGUCAACUCCACGCCACACUGCACAUCUGAUGGUCACUUCCACUCCACACUGCAAUGGCUGAUGGUCACUUCCACUCCACACUGCAAUGGCUGAUGGUCACUUCCACUCCACGGCUGAUGGUCACUUCCACUCCACGGCUGAUGGUCACUUCCACUCCACACUGCAAGGCUGACGGUCAUUCCCUCCACACGCAAUGGCUGAUGGUCACUUCCACUCCACUGCACAUCU